AAAAAAAUUGAUGGCAUUUUCGUUAAUUAUAUGAACUUGUGGGGUGAAUAGGGCAUAACUAAUUUAAAAAAAAAGGUGGUUAGUUUUGUGUUUGACUUUGAGUUGUAGGUGAAUUUUGCAAAAAACCCAUUCAUUAAAAUAUAAGGAUAUAGUUAUAUGUAAAUUACAUGAUAGAAUUGAUAAUAUAUAUAUACGAAGUUUAUUUUAUUGAUAUGAUCUUGAUAUUUUAGACAUUAAUUAUAUUAAUUUGUCAUUUUAAAUAAAGACUUUCAUUGACAUAUAUUUGUGCUAAACUUAAUUUAUUUAAUAAUAUUAUGAUAUUUUUAAUCUUUUCAUCUUAUGAAAUUAUAAUAAUUAUAAUUUAUUUAAUAGUUAUUUUUAUUAGUUAAAUAAAUUAGAAAGCAUCAUAAUUAAAAAUUAGAGUAUUGUUUAAUAAAUUCAAAUUUUAAUCACACAAAAAUAAAGUAAAUUUUUUUUAUAAAAGAUAAAUAUAGUUGAAGUUGUUGGUAUAAAAUCGAAUAAAUAAAAAACCGACAAUAUAUAACCCGAACCAAACAUAGUAGAUAUGGUUUUAUCAUGGUAUAUUAUUUUUUUUAAUUAACCACCAUGUCCGACGACCGAGGUAAGCCAAAUAUUAUGUGGGUCCCAGAAGUGUAAUAUUAAAUUAUCUAGUGGCCAACGGAGAUCAAACUGUAGGUUUCUCGUAUUGGAGUUAUCCCUCAAGUGCCACUAGCCCAAGAUCCGUUGAUUGGUAUCUAAUUUUUAGAUAUCCAAAUACCAAAAAAAAAACUGAAAAAACCAAAAUCCGUAUUAAGCAGCCAUACUUUGGAUAUAUAGUUUUUACACCCAUCUCAACUUAGAUCAUUUUUAUUAGUAGAUUUAGAAUAUCAACCCAUAUCUAAUAGUCAAGAUAACGAUAUACAUCAAUAUCUUAGAAUAUGAAACUUAUCAUUAUCUUAUGUUUUUUUGUAACAGAAACUUAUCAUUAUCUAUAUGUAAUAUUUUGUAUUUCAUAACUAAUAUAGAAUAUUACAUUAUAGAUAAUGAUGAGUUUCAUUUCUAAGAUAUUGAUAUAUAUCCUUAAACUUGACUAUUAGAUAUGAGUUGAUCUUCUUGAUCUCCCAAUAGUUUUCAUCUUUGGCCAAGAAAAUAUUUUUUCUUUAACAUAUGAUUGUGUAUUCUACGUAUAAGAAUCAUAUUACGUAUGGAAAACUAAAAAAUAAUUCCAUAAAAGAUUCAGAAAUUUCCAUAAUUGGCAAUGGAGAUAAAGGGAAAUGAAAUCAUUUAUCUUUAUAAAAGUAGAAAGGAAAGACUAUAUUCCUCUUCAUCUUUGACCAUACAAAAUACCUUUCUUUUGCAUAUGUUUGUGUAUUAUAUAUAUAACCAGACCAAAGAAAGAAAAACUCAUAACAUUUCGUAAGAGAAUACAUUAUACAAUAUAUCCUAAGUGACUAUUACUAUGAGAACUUUAAUUGCAUUUGUUUUUACUGUCCUUUUUAUCAUAUCUGAUGCUCAUCGUUAUAUUCCACCUGUUCAUGCUCCGGGUAUUGGAAUAAAGCAGACGGACAUAGUAUGCUUUCCCCCAGAUCCGUGCAGACACAAUUGGAACGUAGGUUGCACUAGCCAUUGUCAUGACUGGGGUUAUUUUAUAGGUGUAUGUACUAACAACGAAUGUUGUUGUGAAAGAUAAUAUGCAUCGAAGAUGAAAUAAUCUAGUCAAAUGCACUUGUAUCUCUUUUCAAAACAUAAUAUUAAAUACUUUUUCAUGUGUUUUUUAUA